GGCACGUGCACUCGUUGCGGGUCAACGAUGGGCAAAGA
rfam:Pyramidobacter piscolens W5455 contig00273, whole genome shotgun sequence.